UUUGGGAGAAUCUUCUGGUUGACUGGCAGCCACAACAAGUCAUUGGUAACCUCCUUGUCUGGUCGGCUUUUCUUUGAAUGGUGAUGAUGAUAGGACCUUGCUUCAUGAGUCUUAACCCACAUAUCUGGGUAGUCAAUUAUGCAUGCUUUGCACCUUGGACAAAUGUAGCCUCCACCACUUUUAGCUCCUUUAUGACGAGAAAAAUGAUGAUUAUACAUUCCACUCUUUGUGGGAGACCAAUCUUGA
rnacentral:lncRNA from 1 species